UACGUAGGGCGCAAGCGUUGUCCGGAAUUAUUGGGCGUAAAGAGCUCGUAGGCGGCUUGUCGCGUCGGAUGUGAAAGCCCGGGGCUUAACCCCGGGUCUGCAUUCGAUACGGGCAUGACUGGAGUUCGGCAGGGGAGACUGGAAUUCCUGGUGUAGCGGUGAAAUGCGCAGAUAUCAGGAGGAACACCGGUGGCGAAGGCGGGUCUCUGGGCCGAUACUGACGCUGAGGAGCGAAAGCGUGGGGAGCGAACAGG
rnacentral:rRNA from 1 species